UAGCAUAAUCAAUAGUCUUUUAAUUGAAGGCUGGAAUGAAUGGUCGGACAAAGAGUAAGCUGUCUUUUUAAUAUUUCUUGAAGUUUACCUUUAAGUGAAAAGGCUUAAAUGUAAUUGGGGGACGAUAAGACCCUAUAAAACUUUACAGUGGGGUCUGUAUUUUUUUAAAAUAAUGUAUAAUAUGAGUUACAGCCUGUCUGUUAUGUUGGGGAGACAUUAUCAUAAUAAGUAACUGUAAUAAAUAAAAAAUAAUAAUAAUUAGGUUAAUUGAUCCUUUAUUAAAGAUUAUAAGAUUAAGUUACUUUAGGGAUAACAGCGUAAUUCUCUUUGAGAGUUCUUAUCGACAAGAGUAGUU
rnacentral:rRNA from 1 species